rfam:Candida arabinofermentans NRRL YB-2248 unplaced genomic scaffold CANARscaffold_10, whole genome shotgun sequence.
GACAGUAUGGCCGAGUGGUUAAGGCGUUUGACUCGAAUUUUCGAUGUGCAAUCAAAUGGACUUUGUCCGCGCAGGUUCAAAUCCUGCUGCUGUCG